CGAGCCGGGGGGGAGCGCUCUUCUGGGGAAGCGGGGUCUGCCCCAAGCUGCAGCUGCAGCGUGGGGCUGUGCAGAGCGCCCUGUGCCACCUCAGAGCCAGCACCCAGCCACCGCAGGGACACCGCAAAGCUCCGGGUGCCGCUUCAGCUGCCGUCGCAGGGACAUCGCAGAGUCCCUGGAACAACUUACGAGUCACCGCUACGGAGUUGGCACCGGCAUCUCUGAGUUGCCGCCACGGGGACACCUGAGUCACCGCACUAGGGCCAACGCGGAGCUGCCACCACAGGCUAUGGCUGUGGAGCAGUGCCACCGAGCCACCACCAACCCGUGCCUUCCAGGGCUGGCAUCUCAGCAAGGAGCCAGCGAGUGCCACAGGGCCCCAUUCUCCAUGUGAGGAAGGCGUGGGGCUGGGUAACUGCUGUCCCAGUGCCAUCUCCACAGCUGGUUGCUAACCCUGCCAGACACAGAUCCUUCCUCCAUCCCAUCCCCAAAACGAGUGAAGCCACUCACUUGGAGGGUUUCCAUGAGGAGAGCCUGUGUUUAAAAAAGAACUGUGAGGAUCUGAAAAUCAAAGGCAAGGAUGUCAAAAAACCUGCAACCAAGAGAGUGGAGUGCAAUAUAGCAACAGAAAAACCCACAAGUGUCAUAAUUCAGGCUACCACUACUGUCUUUUGCUCUUGGGUGAAUGGAAGAAUCAAAGAGAAGAGGCUUUUCAUGCUCUAUGGGUAGCAGGGUAUCUCCUUGCCCUCAGCUCAAGAGGUUGCAGGCUCUGUGCUUUUGCAUCUGGAUGGUCAGUUCCCAUGGCAAGCCUUAUGUCCUGAAAUUUAGAAGCUAAAUCAUCCUUUUACUGCUUUUUAAAAAUUAAAGAACAGUUGAAGUUGGCAGGAGCCUCUGGAGACCUCAUCCAACCACCUGUCUCAAAGAAGAGCCAGCUCAAGCAGGUUAAUUUGUACCACAUCUCAUCAGGUUUUGAGUAUCUUCAAGGAUGGAGACCCCCUCAGCCUCCCUGGGCAGACAUUUUCAGUGCUGGAUUACCCUUCUGGUGAGGUUUUUUGUUUAAAGUUUAACUCAACAACUCUUUGACAAAAGGGACUGUAAUAAGUGACUGUUAUAGAACAAAACAUGCAUAUACACAUGAAUUUGCCCAAGACAAUCUGGUUGCAGCAAGUUUAUUGUUAAUUCCACAGCUGAGCCAUUUUCCGGAGGACCCUCGUUCAUCCCACGCACAGGACUGACUUUGCACUGUUAGCAAGAAGUCUCACAAGGAUUUUCCACAGUGUUGUUCAGUGCACAAAGCCUGAGGCAGGAUUUACUGCACAUUAUUCAAUUUCUGCUAGGGAGGUAGGAUUAUUAGUCUCCUAAAAAGCUUUUCAAUUGAGUUCACUAAAACAGCUGAAUGUUUCAAAACUGGUAAUGAUUUUAGCUUUGCAAGUCCCCUGCCAGAGGAUGGGUCUAUGCUAUGGAUGUUUUACAGAGGACGAAGCUUGAGCCCAGAAGGGCUAAAAGGAUAGGGGGAUGCAUGGACACACCAACAAUUAGGACAUUACAGAGCACUUAAAGGUGUAGCAACUUCCCUUCAGGUCAAGAGGCUUUAAUAAAGCCAGUGUCCCAUGGCAGACCAAGCUGCUGCACAAGGAGCAGCUCAGUGCCUGGGUGGCAGUGGCAGGGUCUGUGCUUGCCCUGUACCCAGCAUUGCUCUGCCUUAGUGUGCUCACCACACCAAGUCAUUUCCUGCAGCCCAUGGCCAAAGAGGGGUUGGGCUGUAGGAAAGAGGGAAUCGGUCAAUUCAAAUUAAAAGAGGCUGAGAUUGUCCAGACCUGGGUCUAGGCAAGUCUGGCUCAUGCUAGCCUAAGCACUUUGCAUUUGAAGGGGGCAAGCUGAAAAUAAAGAAAGCACCUUGAGAGUCAAGCUCAGGCAGACAGGUAGCACAAAGCAUCUGCCAUGUGUCCUGCUGGCCCCAGGACUGGAGACCUGUAGCCUUUGUCACACAGGUGGUGGCUAAUCCUUCUCCCACAGCUGUUUCUAUAAUCCAUGGUGGCACUAACCCUCUUGUCUAUAGUCCAAGGAACCUUUUGUCUUCGAACCAGAGACCACUGCAGAGACCCCUUUUCCUGAUUGCCCCUAGGAGGGAGAUUUGGCUUUUGUUUGAGUGAAGGCUUUCCUGGUUCAGCAUGGGAGCGGGGAACAGGACACAUGUUCCAGGAAUUAAAUCCACUGCAGGAACUGGAAAGAUUCUAGUCCCCUAAAAGCUGAUCCACAAUGCAAAGCAGGAGGGGAAAAAGGAAGGAAGAUGGACAAAAAAGACUUUGCAAGGAGCAGACCGAAGGCAAGUCUGAGUUUCACUGUCUAUGGAGGAAAGCAGAGCCACCCCCCUACCUCCUUCCAUUUCCCAGCCCUUCCCUCUUACAAGCUGCAAGUCCCUGGGAGGCCCCUAAUCUGCUUUGCUGUACAAAAGACCCAGUCUACUGGCUUUCCUUUUCUUUUUGCCUAUUUAGAGUUGAAGUGGGGAUCAGUUUCCAGGCACGAAGGCGAGGAGGGGGAAGGAGCAGCAUGCAAGGGGUCUCUCUGCAAAACAGAUCCUGUGGAGGGCAAAAGCUCAGGUGGUUUGGGGUGGGCAGGGCACACAGGGACACGGGGUGUCAGGAGUUGUCAGGAUGCUUUCUUUCUAGUUACUGAGCUUUUCUGGUGUGCUUGGGUAUCACAAGCAAACCGAUGGAGAAGAUAACUCCUUCUAUCUUUUGUUUUACUUGUGAAACAGGAUCUCCAGUCUUUUGAUCAUAUUCAGAGAAUUUUUCUGCACUGCUUCUGGCAACAAUUCAGCCUACCUGUCCAGGACUCCUACCCAAUGCUAGAUGAGGUCUUGUCAGUACUUCGCAAAUGCUAUUAAUAAUUUCCUGCUUCUACUGGCAAUAUCCCAAACCCCUCGGGUCUCGUUCGCCUUUUUGUGCCUUUAGCUCAUUGGUGGUUCAUAAUCACCCAUGACUGCUACAACGAAGUUCACCUCCUCCUCAGUCAUGUCCAACUGACACACUCCCUGUCUAGCACAAAAAACCCCAACCCUGUGAUUAGUCUUGCAUUUCGUGCUCUUGAAUUUCAACUCAUUCCUGCGUCUCCGUGCUCAAGGUUGUCUGCUGCUUUCUGUUUGAUCUCCUGUCUCCUCUGCAUUCACAAUGCCUCCCCCUUCUGCGUCAUCAGCUGGCUUAACCUAAGCGCUCCCACUUCUUAUGACAACAUCAUUCAUGGAGAGAAUAAACAAGAUCAAUCCCAGGAUCGAUUCCAGAGAAACUCCAGUGGUGAACUCUGUCUAGCCUGCUACUGCCUCUGUCCAGAGGUACAGCUUCUGUGCCCGACUUCUAUUUCUUCCCACUAAUCCCAUCAUCUUCAGUUUAAUUAGUAAUUUUCCUGUCACUCCAUUGAGCACAGCUUGGUGCAUUUGUCUAGAAAUUUGUCUAGAUGAAUUGAGAUGAGCAGGCUGUCUCGGCCGAAUGCUUUCCAUGGCCUGCUGAGCUGGUUCUGCUCCAGCCGUUUAACUGAGCUGGCCUGCAAGUUUUGUUCCAGGACUUUGCAUGCUACUGACCCAUCCUACAAACUCCCCACGUCCCACACAGUAAAAAACAUCAAACAAACCAGGAAUGGGUACUACAUUCACAACAUUCAGUGUGGUUCUUUCUCUUCUGCAAGAGGCUCUGCCUCUGGAAACCCUGCCAUCACACCUGCAUUUUGGCAUUUUGGUUUGUUUGGAAACCAAACAAAUACCUGCUUGUCCUGGCUAUAACACAUCAACGUGUCUGACUUUUGCAUCUUAAUUUGUUAUAUCAUUCAGGCUUCGUACUGUCAUUCUCCACCUUGCAUGUUGACCCUACACCCAGCAUCAUCAUCCUCUUCAGACUGACUGGGAGCCCCAUCAUGAACAUCUUUGUUUCCCAAUAGAGCCACUGUGCUGAGUGGAUGCCUGACAGAUAUUUUCCCUAGUGUCAUAACAGCCUUUGUUAAGAUUUGGGUCAGCCAGUUUGCUAUGUUGUCCAUACUGCUUCCAGGUCUCUAGAGUAUUCUGGAUUUGUCACCAAAACUGGUAGGGGAGGACAUGAAUCCAGUUGGAACUGAAUCUCCCAGAGCUGAACUCAUCCUUUUCAGGAUGAAAACACAUCCCAGAUCCAGUUCUCAUGGGCUCAGGGAGCUUUAAGAUUUUGCAUUAGCUUUGCUAAAUGCUGUGCUGGGGGACCUGGCAGUCCCUUCUGACCCUCAGGCACUGGGUUACAGAUGUUCCCACUGCAAUCCAGGCCUGUCAGAGGCAACUCUGAUGCUCUCUGGGAGUGGACCAGAUCCUCUCUAGUGCAGACAACACUAGGUCUAGAAAUAAGGCAUCUUUUCCGUGCCUUCAUCUGAAAGGUAAAUAACAAAGCCUGCGGAAUUAAAUUGUAAAAGCCUCUCUGUCAAGCUACUAAAAAACCAGUUUUUCCCAAUUUAAUCCAGCCUGCCAGGGUACUGGGAUCCCCAAGCAGGGAGAAGUCCAUCCUCACUGAAGGGAGAUGAAUGGACUCUAAACAGAGGGAUGAGCAGACUCCUUGUGUUGUAGAGGAGGAUGGGACAGAUCCCACACCCUGUAAGGGGCAGAUUGGACAGACUCCCUGGAGGGUCAGCGCUCUGUGUUAACCUUUGCAGAGAUUCCCUGGGUGUCGCUUUGCUCCCGGUGCCUCCCGGGAUGCUGCCGGCUGUCAGGGUACCCGGCUUCCCCGGAGACCGUGCCGGCUGCUCCCAGCUCACCUGCCCUGCUGUGAGCACCAAAAGCGAAGCCAGAGCCUCACCAUGCUGCCCUCUAAAGCCUCUGUCUUGCCGUGGAAAUAAAUUGCCUCAGAUUCCCGUAACUCAGGCAGAAAACCCAGGCCCCUUGCUGAUAAAACCAGGCAGCCUGGACAGCGUUGCCCUGGCAACCUGCACUUUCUUCCCCAUCCUUUUGUUCGGCCUCGGACCCAGACUUUUGUACCCAGCCAUAAUGGGGCCAGACUCUUGGGAUGUUUACGGGGUGAGGUGAGAGGAAUUUCAUUCAGCCGUGUCUUGCUUGGCCCGUCUCCUUCCGCAGGGUGAGGGAGGAAUGUUAUUGACCAAGGCCCCAUGCAGCGACCGAGGCACUAAAGAAAGGCACUUUAGACUUUCCGACAAAGAAAAGAAAUUCCCGCCCUCCCCCAUGCAAACAUACCCCCCUGCCCCAAUUCGCCUUUUGUUUCCUUAUUUCUCUUUUGGUAACUUCCCCGCUCACCCGCUCCUGCCCACAGCUGCUCUCACCAGGCACAAACAAAACCCUUCAGCGUGCCCCGUGCCCCGGGUGCCUGCCAGCUCCGAGUUGCAAGGCAUUCAGUAAUCCUCCUGGAUCCCUAUCCUCUGAGGCACCUUGACAAUAAAACAAAGCUGGAUGUGUACUGAGUUUGCAGUAGCAGGAGUGCUGUGUGGCUGAGGCCAGGGCAUGGAGCAGCCAAGCACAGCAGGGAGCUGGAGCAGGACCCCAGCCCACGCUGAGACCCUGCCAUGCUCAUUCCCUCGGCCUCUGGUUCGGGCUGGAAAGGGUUAAGCACACCAGGUCCAACUGCCUGCUGAGAAGACAAAAGUCUGCCUUGACAUCCAAUAUUGAAGCUCCCAGGGACACCACUGAGGAAUUCCCAUUAGCUGGUGUUUGUGGAAAGCCUUAUAUCAAAUGCCAAGGACAGCCAGUUUGCUUUCCUCGUGCCAGUGACUGGGAGAGCAGCAACACCUUCCUGGCACUGCAUUUCAGGGAAGAAGCAAUGCAGACAGAGACCAAGUGGUGCCUUCAUGGAGGAAAGGCAAGCAAAUCUUUCCCCUUGUCCCCCUGCACAGCUGGCAGCUCCAGCAGUGGCCAAACCACCCUGGAGAAACUCUAGCCUGACUUGACCAGACAUGUGCCUGGGUUCAGGUAGCUCAUUUCAGAGGAGGACCUGAUAUGACCACUCUCUUCCUGACCUUCAGAUUUCACAGUGUCUUGGGAGAAGUCAAAUAAAUCCACAAUUUGGGCAGAAGACUCUGAGGACCCGUUACUGGCAAUGCAGUUGUGUUUCCCACUCACCCUGUCCCACUCUGCUCUGGUUUCAGGGCACCUGUGGAAAGCCAAAGGCAUGGGCAGAGAUGGGAAGCUGGGAAAGAUGGCACUGGGUUUUGUCCAGUUCUGCUGUGGGCAUAAAUAGAAGAUAAAACCCAAGUGGGUGUUGUUGGAGUGGAUAAGGACCCCUUGAGAAGUGAGUGGCUCCUGCUAUGGGCAGUGUCCCAGUGCUUGGCCAUCCUGGGGACCUCUGCCCAGCAGAGAAGAGCCUGAAACUUGUAUCAGAGACAAUGAAUGUCUUAUGGAUGGUGAGAGGCACUGCCAGAAGCUUUUCUUUAAUCCUGAAUGGUUUGUUAUGGUAUUGCUCUCUCCCAGCUGGAUUACCUGAUUAAAAGUGAGCUCAUGCAUCAUAGCCUUUCACUUCAGCUGGCGCUGCAAGAAGAUGGAGAAAAAAGAUCCAGACACCAGUUUUCCUAACACUUGUCUUUGAGACCCUUACUCUUCCAUCAUGCCCACUUAAAAUUAAAAAAAAAAAAAAUUGACAAAUCAGCGAAUAGAUUUAAAAAUUGAUUAGUGAGCUGGACAGCAGAGUGGAGAGGCGACACAGACGAUGGAGGACCAGAAGACACCUUCUCCUGGGACUGUCGCCAGCAAAAACUAAAGCCCAGGGUAUGCCCAGUUGGCUCUUGACAAAGGACUGGCACCAUUUCAGUGCUGCUUGCCUCAAAGGCAUGAAAGCCCAGUGAAAAACUAGGCUGGGAACCAAGAGGAAGCAAAAUGCAGACCAGCCAUGAAUAAUGGGGCAAAUGUGUCAAUGCUAACAGAAAUACACAGCAGCCCUUCCCAUUGUCCAGACUUGGCAUGGUCUUUCCAAAAGCUGCUGCUGAAGUGAGCCUUCCUGGAUCAAACAGAGUGUGCCUGCAGGCGUGAUCCCCAAGCUGGGUUUGAUUUACGUGUUAUGGGUUAGUGAUUCAGCCACAAUGAGGGAUCACACACUGGAGACACUCUCCCAUUGCUCCUCCAUCACCUGCACCUCCCCCACACCAGCCUACUGACCCCCUCAUUUUUGGGCAGGUUGCCUCAGCACUGAUUUUUCUUUUCAAAAGCACUUCAACUUGAAGUGCUGAAAAUGGCUCCUGAGCAACCCCGAGAUGUGAAGCCAAACUGAAAAGGUCCCUUUUCUUGCAUUUGCAGGAGUGUUUGUAUUCAUGUUUUUUUAUGUUUCCAUGUUGUGGGACAGAGUAGAGGUCAGGGCAGGCAGGGGGAAGCAGGUUUAUAUACACUUACAAACAGAUCUCUGUUAAGAGGUGUGGCAGGAGAAAGCUGCUUGUGGACCACAAGAAGGAACGAGGACUACAGUUCUCACUGCUGAGGAUAGAGGAACUUGGGCAACAAGAAUAUGUCUGAAGCAGCUGAACAGGGAGAAAAUCUCUGGUUAGGUGUCCCUGCUCCCCCAGUCCGCCUUCAUCACUAGCUGCAUCAGCACUGAGGAUACCAGUUUUGUUCUUACGUAGUUCACAGCAAUCUUCAGAGGGUUACAGGGUCCCUUUGAGGUCUCAGUGAGAAGAUGUGGUGCAAUGUCUUCAAAUGGUGCCUUCAAGAGCAGCUAAUCAGGGACAUCAGAACUGUGGGAGUGGGAAUUGUGUCAGGCUGGCACAGGAAAAGUUCUGCCACUAAUGUCUCAUCAAGCCAACGCGGGCUUAACCUGUCAGGCAAAACAAGAAGUGGUAGAGACAGAGUACCAGUUAAUAGGCUUUAGGACAUACAAAGCAGCAGGAAACCCAUUUUUCUCCAACCACCCACAUCCCAUACGGAUGUAGCUUUGAGAGUUUUUUUCGGCUUUGUGUUGGUGGAAACAAAAGCAAGUCCCUUCUGCAACCCAUUUGAGCAAGAAAAAUGAGAUAGAGGCUCCUGGGGAGGCUUGUUUUAUCAGAGAUGCUGGUGCUGAGGGGGUAGUAUAGAGACCGAUGAAGUAUGAAUGGUGCACUAAAUUUGGGGCUC